GAAUUUGAUUUGUGUGUUUGGAAUAGUUGUUGGUUAUGAACCCAUAAUAAAAUAUGGAAUAAUAUUCUUUUAAGUGCCUGGACUUGUAAAGAAACCUCGCAGAGUGAUUCCUGAAGUUGCUCCUCCACCAAAAGAAGAAGUUGUUUUGAAAAGAGUUCUUAAAAAGAAAACAGAAGAGGAAGAACCUAAACCAGAAAAAGAACCUAAACCAGAAGUUAAACCAGUACCUACCCCAGCAGAAAAAAUUAAGAAACCUGAAGUCCCAGAGGUUCCUAAGAAGAAAACUGAGAUACCUGUCAUAAAAAAAGAGGAGAAAUAUGUGCCAGAGCCACCAAAAGAGCCUAAGCAAGCAGCUAUCCCACUUCCUGGGCCUGAACCUAAACCUGCAG
rnacentral:lncRNA from 1 species